CAGCCGCCAGGUAAUACGUAGGGUGCAAGCGUUAAUCGGAAUUACUGGGCGUAAAGCGUGCGCAGGCGGUCCGCUAAGACAGAUGUGAAAUCCCCGGGCUUAACCUGGGAACUGCAUUUGUGACUGGCGGGCUAGAGUAUGGCAGAGGGGGGUAGAGUUCCACGUGUAGCAGUGAAAUGCGUAGAGAUGUGGAGGAAUACCGAUGGCGAAGGCAGCCCCCUGGGCCAAUACUGACGCUCAUGCACGAAAGCGUGGGGAGCAAACAGGAUUAGAUACCCGUGUAGUCCCUGUCUCUUAUACA
rnacentral:rRNA from 1 species